rnacentral:rRNA from 1 species
GUCCACGCCCUAAACGAUGUCGACUAGUUGUCGGGUCUUUACAGACUUGGUAACGCAGCUAACGCGUGAAGUCGACCGCCUGGGGAGUACGGUCGCAAGAUUAAAACUCAAAGGAAUUGACGGGGACCCGCACAAGCGGUGGAUGAUGUGGAUUAAUUCGAUGCAACGCGAAAAACCUUACCUACCCUUGACAUGCCAGGAACUUCGCAGAGAUGCGGAGGUGCCCGAAAGGGAGCCUGGGCACAGGUGCUGCAUGGCUGUCGU